rnacentral:ncRNA from 1 species
UUAUGCUUGCGCACAUGAACCGCUUCCUGUCCGCCCUCCGACGUCGCCGCUCGCCGCUCCUCCCGGAUGCCGCCGGCUCGUCACGGACUCGCGCGUAACCCGCACCUGCUUCAUCGCUGCUUCACCGGUUACGCACAAGCUGUUCGAUCCACCAGCCACGGCAUUCCGUGGCUUUUUU